ACAACAGAGGAAAGAUUUGACUGAUUGCAACCUCUUUGUGUUAAACGGAAUUUCAUAAAAUACAUGAAACACCUUAACCCAAGAAAAAAUGCUAAAGGCAGUGUA
rfam:Tamlana sp. s12 contig1, whole genome shotgun sequence.